GUUUCUGAGGGGGUCGGUGGAAGGCUGGUUAAACCGUUUGGUUUUCGACCACUAGGACCCGGGUUCGAUUCCCGCAUUGAACA
rnacentral:tRNA from 1 species